rnacentral:rRNA from 1 species
UACGGAAGGGGCAAGCGUUGUUCGGAAUCAUUGGGCGUAAAGGGCGCGUAGGUGGUUCUGUAUGUCUACCGUGAAAGCGUACGGCUCAACCGUAUUUUGUCGGUGGAAACUGCAGGACUUGAGGCUGGGAGGGGCUGGUGGAAAUUCCCUGUGUAGCGGUGAAAUGCGUAGAGAUGGGGGAGAACACUCGUGGCGAAGGCGGCCAGCUAGACCAGUUCUGACACUGAGGCGCGACAGCGUGGGGAGCAAACAGG